rnacentral:lncRNA from 1 species
AACUCCAGCUCCAAGAUUGGUGCCGAGCCCCAUUGGCCCAAGUUAGAAGUAGACAUCUGUGUCCUCACAUUGGGUGCAGAUGCCGCCUGGGGCACCCCUGAUUAUUAUAUGCCUCAAUUAACAGCAGUUAACACAGGUGAAAAAACCAUCCCUAACAAUCAUAAAGGAUCCAUAGGACUUCCAGGUACCCGCCCCCCUGUUCCUGCCCCAGGGUGUGCUACGACCCUGUUUCAGCCCACUCUCCCUGCGGGGAGGCUCCCCUCUUCCACUGAUUUACUGUGGUCUAUAUUGAAUGCUUCUGCUUUAGCCUUGUUGCAUAAGACACAAAGAGAUAACGCGUCAGAAUCUGAAGAUUGUUGGAUGUGCUUUUCUGCUUCCCUGCCCUUUUAUGAGGGCAUAGCCUUAUUUGAAAAUUUUACCCUGCUUUCAGACGCUAGACAGCUUCACCUUGAGUCAGUUCAGCUUACCUUGACAGAACUCUCUGGGGUAAGAAGUUGUGUGUUGGGCCCAGGCAUGCUUCCGCUGAGGCCCUUGCUAGAGAUUUGCAAUAACACGUUUAGAGUAAAUAAAAAUGGGUUU